ensembl:lncRNA TDRG1 testis development related 1
GGGCGUGGCUAACGGGAUAACUGCCAGAGCAGAAGACAGUUGGCAGUUAUUUCGCAACCUUCAUCUGUUCCUGGAAGAUACCCGUAGCCUGCCUUCCUUCUUGACAGGCUGAUUUAGGGGUGCUCCCCAAGAAGAUCAGGACUGCUGAAAGAAUGAAGAAGAACUUACUUGGCCUAGGAUGUGGCUAGAGAACGGAGCGCACUUUCACUUACCUGGCAAGGUGGUUUUGGAAGUUUCCACGGAAGCCUUCCCAGGGCCGCUGCUGCCCGUCCUCGCCUAGAAGAAUUCCAUUCUCCCAUCCCAGGAAGGAGAGUGCCCUGCGUGCCACGAAAGAGCCCAGGACCCACAGGACAAAUACGUCACUGGCAGACCUGCCUUCGCCAGCGCCAGCCCAUCUCUGAAACCUCCAGCAUUUGUGCCCCGGUCCGGCCCCUCCCAGGCCUGACUCUUUCCGUGAACGGUCACUGCGCAGGAUCAAGCUACAAUGAAGAGGAGGGAGGCAGUCUGCGCGCACCGCCAUUUUCUAGGAACUGGGAAGCCCCCCCACCCCUUAGGAAGAUCCAUCCCUGUGGAACCUUGCCCAGGCUUACCAGCCUUUGCUGAGGUUGAUCUAUUGUCCCUCCUUGUCCCCAUCAAAAUAUCCAGCACUCCACCUUCAGGGAGUAGACUUGACCCUCAAAUAGCAAGUUCAGCCUUCCCAGGUCUAGGUUCCCUGGGAGGUCAAGAUUCGUCUGGUUCCUUAGUACAGAGGGCUAGCUGUGAGUUGGAAUCCCCCUAUGAGCUUUAGAAUCAGUCAAGAGGAAUUGGGCCCCUUCCCUUCAUCCCUCUUCUUUUCCCUUUUUGUCCCAGAGCUCAGCUCUGACUCAAAAGUUUUUCCAUUUACCAUCAACAUGGAAACUUGGCUCCUCACGUAGGUAUAUUAUCCCCCUUUUGUACAUGGUCUUGUUGAUCCAAACUCCCUUUCUGUGAAAGAGGCCUGUGGGGCUCAAGAAGCCUGGUCAGCCAGCCAGGCUAGUCCCACAUACCUCAGAACCAGUUUAAUAAAGGCUCUAUGUCAUUCUUUUUUGCUU